UCAAAUUCAAUUUAAAAGUGUCAUUGAU
rnacentral:sRNA from 1 species